CCCGGAAAAACAAGAAGUAUUCUUGCCAUAAAAAUCAUAAGGAAAGCAUCACAACAGUACCCAUAAUAAAAGCUGAAAAGAAAAAAAACGAGAUCCACCUCGAACCUCUCUNNNNNNNCCUCGUCCUCCUCCUCCUCCUCCUCCGUAAGUUCUCGCGGUCCCGGCGUCACUACGGCCUCCACCACUCCUCAAAUCAAAUCAAAUUCUAGUUUGAGAGAGAG
rnacentral:misc_RNA from 1 species